rnacentral:lncRNA from 1 species
ACGAAACAAAGUCAAAGCUUUGUGAAAUGUCAGUGUUAUUGCCGAGCUGAAACGGAGGUGGGUGCCUUGAGGGAGCUGUAUUCCCGUCGCAAAAUGAGUCACCCUUUUUUUGCCUUCCCAAUUUGGCACACUCGUUGGCAAAAUGACAUGGAGCUGUUCUAACAUGUACCCACAUAACCAAAUUGAGGCUUUCACGGAUAGGGAUGUGUGUCCGGCUCUACAUCCAAGGAAAGGCCAAAAGGUAGAUGUUCUUUCGCACUUCAUCUUUUUAAAUUCAUGGGUGCACUCUCCCAGUUGUCUCAGCAAAUGAGAAGAGUUCCUUCCUCCUUUAUUCCAUCAGUAUCAACAGAUAGACAAACCAGUGGCUGCAAAAAGGACUACAAAAAUUAAUUUGAUAAGAGGUGGUGCUGUGGGUUAAACCACAGAGCCUAGGACUUGCCGAUCAGAAGGUCGGUGGUUCGAAUCCCCGUGACGGGGUGAGCUCCCGUUGCUCUGUCCCUGCUCCUGCCAACCUAGCAGUUCGAAAGCAUGUCAAAGUGCAAGUAGAUAAAUAGGGACCGCUCCGGCGGGAAGGUAAACGGCGUUUCCAUGCACUGCUCUGGCUCUCCAGAAGCGGCUUAGUCAUGCUGGCCACAUGACCUGGAAGCUGUACGCCGGCUCCCUCAGCCAAUAAAGCGAGAUGAGCACCGCAACCCCAGCGUCGGUCACGACUGGACCUAAUGGUCAGGGGUCCCUUUAUCUUUAUCUUAAGGUUUUUGGGGGGGAUCGAGGGUUGUACAUGCUUUGUUGGGGAGACCAUUCCCAAGCUUGUAUCUCCCCACCCCAGCAUCUCACAUAAUGGGGAAUAAGUCAGAGAAGGACUUCAGAGGAUGAUCUCUGUCUCUGGGUAGCGACAGGUGGGAAGAGGUGAUCCUUCAGGUAAUCUGGGGUGGUUCUACACAAGGACUUAAUUUUUAAAUAGGUUGUUGAGACAUUGCAAAUGGGUCAUUGGCAACAGCUCCCCCCCUUUAAAAUCUAUCAGAUCCCCAACCCUCAAAAAAGUGUAAAUCCAGAUUAAAUGGAGGGAAAUACAGCUAGCAUUUUGAUGCUGAUGAUGUCAUGCGGACUCUGCAAGAAAGUAACUUGUUUGAGUAACACAAAUCCCACAAUAGACAGCAACCUGGCAGCACACACAGGCUGGUCCUAAGCCGUCUAUGUCAAAAUCUGCAUGCCAGAAUAUAUUCACACGGGUUUCACAGAGUGGAGUAACCAUUUUACCUAUUCAUCUGUAUCCAUCCUUAGUCUUGAUUCACCCAUUUCUGAAGCAGCAUAAUAACCAACAAAACAAAAGGCUUUGCCAUUGUUUUGGUUCAGCAUCACUUCCACAACAGACGAAGCUCUGUCCAUUCGGAUUUGUGCUAAUUGUGUUUUUUCUUCUUUAGCUCAGCUCAUGGCUCCCAGAGGAGGCUGGUAUGAAGCAUCAGCAAUGCUAUAUCGUCAGGGUCAUGUCCAAAGAGCCAUGCCGGAUACAGCUGAGUCAAAAUGGGCUGUGUGGGAUCAGAUUAGGGAAAACAUCAGGACCCUGGACAGAUCACUGUGUCAGACACUGGCAGCAACUCAGCCAAGGAGGGUUGUUGUCUCAGCAAAGUACAGAGACCUACUGAAGGUUGGCUACUCUGAACCUCCACCUGUUCUGAAGAGCUGUCUCUGCUGUAUCAGAGGGUGUCCAUUGGACAGAAAGUAGGGGGAGACAGACCCCUGGGUGAUUCCUCCUUGCAAGUCUGAGCCAGAGAGGGGACUGAAACCAGAGAAUAGGGCAUUCCCAACAUCCCAACAUGCACAGUUCCAUUACAUUUUGGAUCUGAGGGGUGGGUGGGGGGUUAUAAUCACAUUCAGAGGACUGCUAAACCUCUUUGUAACUGGGAUCCCUGAUCUCAGGGAGGAUUGUAAGUUGAUUUAAGCAAAUAAUCCCCCUUCAUGAGUUCCUGCUCAAUACAGGAAUGUCAGCGGUGGAAGGGACAGGGAAGGAGACAUUAGAUGUGAAGCAGUGUACACAGUCCCACUCCCCUACCACAUUAUGCCCAGACUUAUUUACUUAAAUGCAUGACUAGGGCCAUGGAAGGGGACCAUUUUUAAUUUUUCUUUAAAGUACUUUGGGAGACUAUCAUGCCGUCUCAAUAUGACAGGAACUAAGCCAUAGUUGACAAAAGAUAUCCCAACUAAUAUUCAUAUUCCAUGUGCAGUUAUUGUUUUGUAUGUGUCUUGGGGGGUCACUUGGCAGCAAUGUAUGUUGUGACAAUAUUUAAAGCAGUGUUAACUUUUCCUUUUGCCUGAAGCACGUCAGUGCAGUGGUAAGGUUUAAAACUUGUCCAUCCUGCUGAGUAAAUAAUCAUUUAAUGCUAUUUUAUUCCCAGCUGCACACAAUGCAAGCACUUUAUGCUUCCCACCUCUGUUGUCUAAAAGCAUUUCCAAUCCUGCAGAACAGUAGGGGAAAGAAAUAAUAACUGUAAUAUCCAGAUAGUGGAUCCCAACACUGACUUGAAGCAGUUAGUAAAAGUCUGUUCCUUAGAUUUAAAACUUUAGAGAUGGAAAUAGAGAGUGGAGAAAUAACUGGAAUACAACUGCUUUCAUUCCAUGAAGUACAAUGAAAUCAGAUUUUAGCAUUCACCCAGACAGCAAAGCAACUAAGGAGAACCAGUGUGGCAUAGUGGUUAGAGUGUUGGACUAGGAACUGGGAGACCAGGAUUCAAAUCCCCACAAAGCUCACUGGGUGACCUUAGGCUCAUUGCUAUCUUUUACCCUAACCUACAUCAGAGGGAAGUACAGAGGAUAAUAAUGGGGAAGAAAGGUGGGAUAUGGCUUAGUCAACGGCUUUGCUUCUCUUUUAUAUUUUAUAUUGUGGAGGCUAAUGUUCUUGAGUUUCCCCCCUUCGUCCCCUCCCAUUUGUUUUACCUUUUUGUAACUCAUCCUAGGAACAUGCUGAAGAAUGGGAUAUUAAAAACUAAAGUCCUGUAUGUGACUAUGCUAGCCUCGUGCAACAAAAACAACGACGAGUCCUGUGGUAUCCAUAAAAGACUAACAAACAAAUACACUGAAAGCUGUGUGCUGUGGAGGUGCUAUUCACCAUAAAUGUACCUACAUCAGCUGUUGAGAGUGGAGAUGAUUUUCACCUUCAAAUCAGUAUGGGGAGGAAAGGGUGAAAGCUUUCUUCCCACACACAGAACGUUUUGAUUAUGGAUCGAGGACCCACACACCUGCUUUUCCUGAAAAAGCAUACUAUUAGAAAGGACGUUUCAUGUAUCUCAUAGCAUGGCCCUUAUAAUACCAAGAAACCAG